UACGUAGGGGGCAAGCGUUUGUCCGGAUUUAUUGGGCGUAAAGAGCUCGUAGGUGGUUCGGUAAGUCGGAUGUGAAAUCUCCAGGCUCAACCUGGAGGGGUCAUUCGAUACUGCCGUGACUAGAGUUCGGUAGGGGAGUGUGGAAUUCCUGGUGGAGCGGUGAAAUGCGCAGAUAUCAGGAGGAACACCCGGUAGCGAAGGCGGCACUGUCGGCGAUACUGACACUGAGGAGCGAAAGCGUGGGGAGCGAACAGG
rnacentral:rRNA from 1 species